rnacentral:rRNA from 1 species
UACAGAGGUCUCAAGCGUUGUUCGGAUUCAUUGGGCGUAAAGGGUGCGUAGGCGGCGCGGUAAGUCGGAUGUGAAAUCUCGGAGCUUAACUCCGAAACUGCAUUCGAUACUGCCGUGCUUGAGGACUGGAGAGGAGACUGGAAUUUACGGUGUAGCGGUGAAAUGCGUAGAUAUCGUAAGGAAGACCAGUGGCGAAGGCGGGUCUCUGGACAGUUCCUGACGCUGAGGCACG